UACGUAGGUGGCAAGCGAUACUCGGAAUCACUAGGCGUAAAGCGCAGGUAGGAGGUUUAGUAAGUCUGUUGUGAAAGCUCCCGGCUUAACUGGGAGAGGUCAACGGAAACUGCUAGGCUAGAGUGCGGUAGAGGUAGCUGGAAUUCCCGGUGUAGCGGUGAAAUGCGUAGAUAUCGGGAGGAAUACCUAUGGCGAAAGCGGACUACUGGACCGCCACUGACUCUGAUCUGCGAAAGCUAGGGGAGCAAACAGG
rnacentral:rRNA from 1 species